rnacentral:rRNA from 2 species
GCUUAACACAUGCAAGUCGAACGAUGAACCUCACUUGUGGGGGGAUUAGUGGCGAACGGGUGAGUAACACGUGAGUAACCUGCCCUUGACUCUGGGAUAAGCCUGGGAAACUGGGUCUAAUACCGGAUAUGACCUUCCAUCGCAUGGUGGUUGGUGGAAAGCUUUUGUGGUUUUGGAUGGACUCGCGGCCUAUCAGCUUGUUGGUGGGGUAAUGGCCUACCAAGGCGACGACGGGUAGCCGGCCUGAGAGGGUGACCGGCCACACUGGGACUGAGACACGGCCCAGACUCCUACGGGAGGCAGCAGUGGGGAAUAUUGCACAAUGGGCGCAAGCCUGAUGCAGCGACGCCGCGUGAGGGAUGACGGCCUUCGGGUUGUAAACCUCUUUCAGUAGGGAAGAAGCGAAAGUGACGGUACCUGCAGAAGAAGCGCCGGCUAACUACGUGCCAGCAGCCGCGGUAAUACGUAGGGCGCAAGCGUUAUCCGGAAUUAUUGGGCGUAAAGAGCUCGUAGGCGGUUUGUCGCGUCUGCCGUGAAAGUCCGGGGCUCAACUCCGGAUCUGCGGUGGGUACGGGCAGACUAGAGUGAUGUAGGGGAGACUGGAAUUCCUGGUGUAGCGGUGAAAUGCGCAGAUAUCAGGAGGAACACCGAUGGCGAAGGCAGGUCUCUGGGCAUUAACUGACGCUGAGGAGCGAAAGCAUGGGGAGCGAACAGGAUUAGAUACCCUGGUAGUCCAUGCCGUAAACGUUGGGCACUAGGUG